CUCCCGGAUUCAACCAGAGCACUUAUGCUCUCAUCUGCUUUGUUUAUUGGACUUAUAGGAAAAAUGGAGACUUAAGGAAGAAAGAAGUUUUCCCCAUGAUGGCAUGAAGAAAAGCCACACAGUCCUCUGGCGGGAACCAUUAGAGGAAGGGACUAACAUUGUUCUCCCCUGAGUCUCUUCUUUGAGGCAGGGAGAAGACCCUGGAACAUCUGCAGGUGCAGAGAAAUGCCACCACUGGAUCAAGUGUUUGUCCUGUGAUAUGGAGACCACUCAAACAGCUUUACAAUUGUGUGCUAGUCAAGUGUAGAAUCAAAACCCUUUCUGUAGUUUCUGUUUGAGAAAAUAAAAAAGUUCUGGAGAUGGAUGGUUGUACAAUGUGAAUGUAUUUAACACUGAACAAUACAAUUAAAGACGGUAAAAUAGUAAAUGUUGUUAUGUAUAUUUUAC
rnacentral:lncRNA from 1 species